UACGUAGGGUGCGAGCGUUGUCCGGCAUUAUUGGGCGUAAAGGGCUCGUAGGCGGUUUGUCGCGUCGGGAGUGAAAUCCACUGGCUUAACUGGUGGCUUGCUUUCGAUACGGGCAGACUGGAGGUAUGCAGGGGAGAACGGAAUUCCUGGUGUAGCGGUGAAAUGCGCAGAUAUCAGGAGGAACACCGGUGGCGAAGGCGGUUCUCUGGGCAUGUCCUGACGCUGAGGAGCGAAAGUGUGGGGAGCGAACAGG
rnacentral:rRNA from 1 species